CUCUUCAAUACGCUUCAGGCCACCCAGUGAUAUCUUGUCCCAGUAUGAGGGAUCUGCCUUGCACUUCUCAAAGAAGUCAACAAGGAUCUCAGCAGCCUGCUCACCAUGGUAAGGAUCAAUGUGGUAGCCAGAUUUCCCGUUAACGAUAAUCUCAGCCGGGCCACCCUUGCAAGUUGCAAAUGUUGGCAAUCCACAGGUCAUGGCCUCAACAACAGUCAAGCCAAAGGCCUCAUACAGUGCAGGUUGCACAAAAGCUCCCUUUGUAUCACAAAUGUACCGGUACAAUUCACCGUUCCUGACCCGAUUCAUCUGAGAUGAGAUCCAUCGGAACUGGCCAUUCAAUUUGUAUUGAUCAAUGAGGGAAUACAUCUUCUUCAUUUCAGCCUGUUCUUCCAAGUCCUUGGACUCCUUUCUCCUAUCACCACCCACUACGACUAAGUUAACCAACUCACGUAGCUUAGCAUUCUUUCCAUACCACUCCACA
rnacentral:lncRNA from 1 species